ACGGAGGGGGCUAGCGUUGUUCGGAAUUACUGGGCGUAAAGCGCACGUAGGCGGACCAGUCAGUCAGAGGUGAAAUCCCAGGGCUCAACCCUGGAACUGCCUUUGAUACUGCUGGUCUAGAGACCGAGAGAGGUGAGUGGAAUUCCGAGUGUAGAGGUGAAAUUCGUAGAUAUUCGGAGGAACACCAGUGGCGAAGGCGGCUCACUGGCUCGGUACUGACGCUGAGGUGCGAAAGCGUGGGGAGCAAACAGG
rnacentral:rRNA from 1 species